AGUAAAAGUCGUAACAAGGUUUCCGUAGGUGAACCUGCGGAAGGAUCAUUAACGAGUUUGAAAGGGGUUGUAGCUGGCCUUCACCGGCACGUGCACGCCCCACUCAUCCACUCUACACCUGUGCACUCACUGUGGGUUUCGAGCGAUCGUGCGGGGGCUUGCUCUCGUGCGGUUUAUCGGGCCUACGUUUAUCACAAACUCUUCAGUAUCAGAAUGUGUAUCGCGAUGUAACGCAUCUAUAUACAACUUUCAGCAACGGAUCUCUUGGCUCUCGCAUCGAUGAAGAACGCAGCGAAAUGCGAUAAGUAAUGUGAAUUGCAGAAUUCAGUGAAUCAUCGAAUCUUUGAACGCACCUUGCGCUCCUUGGUAUUCCGAGGAGCAUGCCUGUUUGAGUGUCGUGUAAUUCUCAACCUAUAAACCCUUGCGGUUUUGUAGGCUUGGACUUGGAGGCCUUUGCCGGCUUUGCGGUCGGCUCCUCUCAAAUGCAUUAGCUCGAUUCCUUGCGGAUCGGCUCUCGGUGUGAUAAUUAUCUGCGCCGUGACCGUGAAGCGUUUGGCGGGCUUCUAAACCGUCUCUCUGAGACACUUACUUUGACAUCUGACCUCAAAUCAGGUAGGACUACCCGCUGAACUUAAGCAUAUCAAUAAGCGGAGGA
rnacentral:rRNA from 1 species